rnacentral:rRNA from 1 species
CCUACGGGAGGCAGCAGUGAGGAAUAUUGGUCAAUGUUCGGGAGACUGAACCAGCCAAGCCGCGUGAGGGAUGAAGGUACAGAGUAUCGUAAACCUCUUUUGUCAGGGAACAAAGGCGGGGACGUGUCCCCGGAUGAGUGUACCUGAAGAAAAAGCAUCGGCUAACUCCGUGCCAGCAGCCGCGGUAAUACGGAGGAUGCGAGCGUUAUCCGGAUUUAUUGGGUUUAAAGGGUGCGCAGGCGGUCUGUUAAGUCAGCGGUCAAAGCCCGGGGCUCAACCCCGGCCCGCCGUUGAAACUGGCAGUCGCGAGUUGGAGAGAAGUAUGCGGAAUGCGCGGUGUAGCGGUGAAAUGCAUAGAUAUCGCGCAGAACUCCGAUUGCGAAGGCAGCAUGCCGGCUCCACACUGACGCUGAGGCACGAAAGCGUGGGUAUCGAACAGGAUUAGAUACCCUUGUAGUC